CGCAACACCGCAGCUCUCAGUCCCCUCAGACCGGAAAUGUCGUCAACCCUUGCGACGAAAACAAGUUACGUUAUUUCACCUCUCGCGAAAAAAACACGUUUGAAUGUUGUCACAUGAUCCAAAUAGGACAAGCUGCAAGAUCACCACCCCAUUGGGAAGAAACUAAAUCACGACCCCCAAAUGGUAGUCUUCCCAUGCAGAUACAGGGAUGUCACACAGAUCCAAAUGGAAACAGGACCAAUGGUGACAAUAUAAGACCAUGCCGAGUUUCAUGGACGGUUCAAACUCAUCCUGCCCAGGAACGGCUGAAAACGUUGACAGUCAAUCAACAGGGGGACAUGGAAAGAGAGGAUUGGAAGUGAAAUAGAGGGUUUUUCGGGACAGCCAUAGGGGAAGGACUGUGGCAUCUUCAUGUUGAUGACUGAUAUGCCAACUCUGAGGAAGUGGUGGUGUAUAUUGCUAGCGGACAAUUUCAAACUUGGGUGCAUGGUGAGCCACAGGAAAGAGUUUGCCCAUUGGACAGAUAAGGCAAAAGCAUUACUGCAGGGUGAAGUGCCACCAGUCUAUCAGCUACAGAAGUGAAAUUUGAAUAUGAUUGCUGAGGAAGAGGUGCAACCACAGCUCCUUCAAGUUAGUGGUGGCCCACUCCAAAAAGAUAUGACGGGAAAAAAAUGUUUUGGUAAAAGGACUGUGCAAGACUGCACAAAAGCCUCGGACAGGGCUGUGGGGGG